UACGUAGGGGGCAAGCGUUGUCCGGAUUCACUGGGUUUAAAGGGAGCGUAGGUGGGUUGGUAAGUCAGUGGUGAAAUCUCCGAGCUUAACUUGGAAACUGCCAUUGAUACUAUCAAUCUUGAAUACUGUGGAGGUAAGCGGAAUAUAUCAUGUAGCGGUGAAAUGCUUAGAUAUGAUAUAGAACACCAAUAGCGAAAGGCAGCUUACUACGCAGUUAUUUGACACUGAGGCUCGAAAAGCGUGGGGGAUCAAA
rnacentral:rRNA from 1 species